AGUUUGAUCCUGGCUCAGGAUGAACGCUGGUUGCGUGCCUAAUACAUGCAAGUCGAACGAAUCUCUUCGGAGAUGAGUGGCGAACGGGUGAGUAAUACAUAGGUAACCUGCCCCUGUGCGGGGGAUAACAGGAGGAAACUCCUGCUAAUACCGCAUAGCCAUGAGCACCGCAUGGAGCUCAUGCCAAAUAUCCUUUCGGGGAUAGCGCAGGGAUGGACCUAUGGCGCAUUAGCUUGUUGGCGGGGCAACGGCCCACCAAGGCAACGAUGCGUAGCCGGCCUGAGAGGGCGGACGGCCACAUUGGGACUGAGACACGGCCCAGACUCCUACGGGAGGCAGCAGUAGGGAAUUUUCGGCAAUGGGGGAAACCCUGACCGAGCAACGCCGCGUGAGCGAAGAAGGCCUUCGGGUCGUAAAGCUCUGUUGUAAAGGAAGAACGGCGCAUACAGGAAAUGGUAUGCGAGUGACGGUACUUUACCAGAAAGCCACGGCUAACUACGUGCCAGCAGCCGCGGUAAUACGUAGGUGGCGAGCGUUAUCCGGAAUCAUUGGGCGUAAAGAGGGAGCAGGCGGCCGCAAGGGUCUGUGGUGAAAGACCGAAGCUAAACUUCGGUAAGCCAUGGAAACCGGGCGGCUAGAGUGCGGAAGAGGAUCGUGGAAUUCCAUGUGUAGCGGUGAAAUGCGUAGAUAUAUGGAGGAACACCAGUGGCGAAGGCGACGGUCUGGGCCGCAACUGACGCUCAUUCCCGAAAGCGUGGGGAGCAAAUAGGAUUAGAUACCCUAGUAGUCCACGCCGUAAACGAUGGUCACUAAGUGUCGGGGGUCAAACCCCGGUGCUGCAGUCAACGCAAUAAGUGACCCGCCUGAGUAGUACGUUCGCAAGA
rnacentral:rRNA from 1 species